rnacentral:rRNA from 1 species
AAUCAACGCUGGCGGCGUGCCUAACACAUGCAAGUCGAACGCGAAAGUCCCGCAAGGGAUCAGUAGAGUGGCGAACGGGUGAGUAACACGUGGGUGACCUGCCUUCGAGUGGGGGAUAACGUCCCGAAAGGGACGCUAAUACCGCAUGACAUCCUGCUCUUGAACGAGUGGAGAUCAAAGCUGGGGAUCGCAAGACCUAGCGCUCAAAGAGGGGCCCGCGCCUGAUUAGCUAGUUGGUGGGGUAACGGCUCACCAAGGCAACGAUCAGUAUCCGGCCUGAGAGGGCGGACGGACACACUGGGACUGAGACACGGCCCAGACUCCUACGGGAGGCAGCAGUGGGGAAUUGUUCGCAAUGGGCGCAAGCCUGACGACGCAACGCCGCGUGGAGGAUGAAGACC